GUUUUAUUCAUCUCAUGGCCUUAUUCCUUGUCUCUCUCUGUAGCUAUUGUCAAGGCCUUUUGUUUUUAAUUAUCUUUCCAGAAAAGAACUCUUGAGCAAAUAAUGCUUCUGAGGUCUACUUUGGCACCAUAGUAGAAGGAUGUAUGGUUUGUUUACCCAUUUAGGUUUCUUUUAUUUAUAGGAAUAUUUAUUGUUAAUAAUUUCUGCUGGCUUGUUGCUUUGUCUUCUCCUUGCCUUGUUAUUCUCCAAUUUUUAUAUAUGGUUGGUGGCUAAAAUAGAAGAGAAGAUGCAGAAUAGGUACCAGCCUCUGUUUUAGAAAAGCAAUGUCCAGGACCUAUGACAAAUUUCUUUGUGACUUCUGACAAUUAGUUUAGCCUUUUUUUCAUGCAGUUGGAAGAGUUCAACACACAGCGUUGACUGAAGGAGCAAACUGGAGGUGUACUACUGUGUGAUUGGUGACCAACCCGGACACUUCACUGGACACAGAUGCGGUCUCACUGAAACUGAAGAAAACAGCUUGUGGAGUAAGAUGUUAUUCAAGAGAAGCCAAAAGGGCAGAAUCUGGCCCACCCUUAAUAAUUCAGGGCUAGAGUGUGCCACAAGGAUGCAGCUCAUAUGAAUUAGCAGCAUGUUGUACCAUCCCAGGAAAUGAAGGCAUGUGCACCUUAAUUGCUACUUAUCUUUGAGGUCAGCUGUACUCUGUGGAUAUGUAGUUCUAUCAAU
rnacentral:lncRNA from 1 species